AUGUACUGCUGAAGAAGCUUAUACUUGGAGUGAGGGUCGCGCUGUUUUUGCCAGUGGAAGUCCAUUCCCUUCUUUUGAAUACGAUGGAAAACUCAACAUUCCUGGCCAGGCAAAUAACUGUUACAUAUUCCCUGGUUUUGGUUUUGGCUUGGUCAUGUCUGGCACAAUCCGUGUGCACGAUGACAUGCUUUUAGCAGCUUCGGAAGCUCUGGCUGCUCAAGUAACCGAGGAACAUUACGCCAAGGGAAUGAUAUACCCUCCUUUUGCUGAUAUCCGAAAGAUCUCAGCUCACAUAGCUGCUAGUGUUGCAGCCAAAGCGUAUGAACUUGGUGUGGCAACACGUCUUCCUCGACCUGCAGAUUUGGUGAAGUAUGCUGAAAGUUGCAUGUAUACUCCUAACUACCGAAGCUACAGAUGAUUGAAUUGAUCAUAUCACGGGGGUUAAUCUUGUAUGCACCAGAGAGUUAUAAUAGUUCAUUUCGAUCUGUCUUUCUUGUAAGCUUGUGUUCUGUAUUAAGCUUUAUUUUUUGUUCAGAAUUCGAGUUUGUUACGUUGUUUAGUAAACUUGUUAUUCAGUGUGUUUCAUUUCAUAGCCAUAAGAGCUGUAAUAAUUUGAGGAGUCGUGAAGGUGAAUAAAUUGAGUUGUUAAUGUUAUACGGA
rnacentral:misc_RNA from 1 species